GUGUACAUAGUUUGCCUCUGGAUUCAAGUGAACAAAGAGAUCAAACAAGAGGCAUCGUUUGGAAGCUUUUGUCUAGCCAUCUAGAGGAAAAACUUGUCGCAGCUGAGAUUUUCUUUGUGAAGUUGAACCACCGGGUUAUCCGACAGUCCAGAAUAAGACGACGAACUCUGGCGAAGACGACGAACACGAGCGUAGAUGACGAUGACGACGAGACUCAAGA